rnacentral:rRNA from 1 species
UACGUAGGGGGCAAGCGUUGUCCGGAAUCAUUGGGCGUAAAGCGCGUGUAGGCGGCUCGAUAAGUCCGUUCUGAAAGUCCAGGGCUCAACCCUGGGAUGCGGAUGGAUACUGUCGAGCUCGAGUCCGGAAGAGGCGAGUGGAAUUCCUGGUGUAGCGGUGAAAUGCGCAGAUAUCAGGAGGAACACCAAUGGCGAAGGCAGCUCGCUGGGACGGUACUGACGCUGAGACGCGAAAGCGUGGGGAGCAAACAGG